AUUUUGAUUAUGUAAGGUAACGUGUCUUCGAACAAAAACUUCACUGAAAGAGGAAGGGAUCGACGAAAGGAUCCCAUUACAGUGAUUUAUUUGGCGUCCUAAUCUUACCUAUGUGGCGUCCUUUUCACCUAGGAUGUCAACAAGACCAGACUUCCCAACAACACAGAGAACCAGCAUCAACAAAGAACUGUAGCCAUACCACCUAACAUAGAAGGCAUUAUUAAAGCGGAGCCCUAAGAUCU